UACGUAGGGUGCAAGCGUUUGUCCGGAAUUAUUGGGCGUAAAGAGCUCGUAGGCGGUUUGUCGCGUCUGGUGUGAAAAUCCAGGGCUUAACCCCGGACUUGCAGUGGGUACGGGCAGACUAGAGUGUGGUAGGGGGAGACUGGAAUUCCUGGUGUAGCGGUGGAAUGCGCAGAUAUCAGGAGGAACACCAAUAGCGAAGGCAGCUCGCUGGGACGGUAUUGACGCUAAGGCGCGAAAGCGUGGGGAGCAAACAGG
rnacentral:rRNA from 1 species